CUUCUCCAAGCUUCGCAUGUAAAAUCCAACAGUGUGAAGUACAUAGCAGCCAGAAACUGUAAUGCCACAGAUCAGAGAGGCUUCAUCAUCACCAUCUUCGCCGUACGAUCAAAGCGUGAGACUUCUGGAGCACAGGAGAGAUUCUGUGAUAAGUCCUCCUUCUAGCUUGUCCCACAAGCAGUCGGUGAGAUUUACUCACAACAAAAAGGGUUAAUGACAUUAUUUUCAUGAAAACAUGUAUUAAUUCUUUGUAAAGUGUUUAAAUUGUGUUUUCACUUGACCUUAGGAGUGUUAGAGUGUAUUUUAAUGUCUGUACUCAGGUGUUUCCCUCUGUGAUCCAUCCCCUUCAGAGCUGAGACACUCAGGACUGAACAGACUGCACAGUUUCUGUGACUGAGCCUCCAAAACAUCUUCUUUGAAACCACACAUGAUAGACGGGCUUUAUAUUUGCAGCAGCACUACUAAAGUUGGCAGGAAUGUUGCUGCAGGAAAACAUCCCUGCAGAUCACCAUCAUUGUCAGACUGACUUUGCCUCCUCUGUGCAGUGUCAAGAUCCUCCCUAAAUGAGUAUUCCUCAGCUAUCCUGCUUCUGUGCUGCUUGCCACACAUCAAACAUUGGCCGGAUGACAGGGAGGAUCCACUCUAAUGUCACUGGACAUGAUGAGGAUCAUAUGGGACUUUAUGGUUUCACAAAGAUGUUGUGCUCUUUGAUUAUAGGUCUUGCAUAAUGACUUCCUCUCUGAUCAACAGGCUAAAGGAUCAUUUUCAUUGUUAGGGCUCUGUAAAAUGAAUGCUUAUUCAAUAUUUCAUUACAGAGCCAACCUUUAUUUAUUUACUUAUUUAUAUUUCGUUUUAAUUAUCAGGGAAAUGUUGAAUUAACUGUGGGGAUUUUUUUUUAAGUGGGCACUUGGGAUGUCAUAUGACCAGAAACGUCAGCGAUGUGGUAGCUUAAAUUCGACAGUAUGUAAAAAAUCUGCUAAGAACAAAACAAAAACAAACAAACAAAAUCCAAUACAAAACAAAGCCAAACAGAACUCUAAUUCAUUCCAUGUAAUCCAUUUUCAAACAUUUUAAACUGCUGAACAGCAACACUGUGUUAACAGUGUUUGUUAACAGAAUGAAUGAUUAUGACAAAUUUUUACCAAAGUUUCAGGUCACAUGGCACACCUAGUGUAUAGUGUGGGGUAUCAGCUGGUAAGUAAAGGUUUUUUCAUAUUUGUGUCCUUAGAGUUCAAAUUUAACCUGAGCCCAGGUUAAAGCACUGUGUAAAAAAUAUUUAGUGCCAUGGCUGAACAAUGUUGUAAACUAAUGGUACUUAUUUAGCAAUGUUCACAAAAGGACUAAUGUGUUUAUGUGAUUAUAGACGUGUUAAACUGUGUCACCACCUUAGGCUUUCAUUUGAGUUUAGUUAAAAAAUCUCAGUUUCUACAGUUCUCUUUUACCACUGUUUUAUUUGGACACUGUUUACAACAAAACAUAAAAAGAAUGAGUAAUAAAAACAUGUGCAGAUAGAUUAGUAAAUUAGGUAGAUUGAUAUAAACAGCUGUUCAGCCAUGUUCUAUGUAAACAAAGUUUAAAGGCUCAGGAUUGAGGUUUUUAAAGUAGAAUUUUCAUGCAUUUCAUAUGUUGCUUAUUUAAUUUAUUUUUAUUUAUAUUUAUAAAGUGUUUGAAAAAAAGAAUUGUAUUUGUUUAUAUGUUAAUUCAUAAUUGAGUCUCUGUCAGAAGCCAAUGUUCAACAAAAAUGAAGAUCAGAUUAUUAGCACCAAAAAACAUUGCAAACAUCUAAGCAGUUAUUUAUAUAAGAAAAAAAAAAAAAAAAAAAAAAAAAAAAUCACACUUACCUGUGAAGCACCAGUUCCUCUCAGAUCUGAACACACAUGUGUAAAUUACAUGCUCUCAAGCCUUAGACAGGUCUACUCAGUGUUUCAAAUUAUGUUGUGAUCAAAUUGAAUGCAUUUAAUAUUUGCCUGUUAGUACUCCUUGUACUAAAAGCAAUGCAGGCCAAAAAAUCAUCAAAAAUGUCUCUUUAUUCCAUUAAUGUAAUGCUCCUCUUCCAUUUACAUUGCCAAGUUAGACUUUCUAUCUGUAUAACUAUCAUAACAGUUACACCACUUAACAUUUACAAACAAUACCUCUUCACAAAGAAACGUCUAACACUAGGUAAACUUUAUUUGCACAUAAGAUUUUAAAAAUAUUUUUGAUUUCAGAUUUUUGGUUUUCUCUUUUUAAAAUUAUUUUUAUACUAUAUUUCUGUCCUUUUUGGAAAGAAGCUGCCAAAUUUAUCCUAAGAUUAUGUUAUUGUUUAUGACAUUGUGAUUCUGUACAAAAUAAAUUUGUCUGUUAUACUAUGGAAAAUAAUAUACACAAUAUGUUUGAAACACAUUAUGCUGUAACCAAAGUUUUUCUAUUGUCUGACAGUUAUAAUAGCCAAAAUUAAAAGAAAUGAAAACUUGAAA